rnacentral:rRNA from 1 species
CCUACGGGAGGCAGCAGUGGGGAAUAUUGGACAAUGGGCGCAAGCCUGAUCCANCCAUACCGCGUGGGUGAAGAAGGCCUUCGGGUUGUAAAGCCCUUUUGUUGGGAAAGAAAUCCAGCCGGCUAAUACCUGGUUGGGAUGACGGUACCCAAAGAAUAAGCACCGGCUAACUUCGUGCCAGCANCCGCGGUAAUACGAAGGGUGCAAGCGUUACUCGGAAUUACUGGGCGUAAAGCGUGCGUAGGUGGUCGUUUAAGUCCGUUGUGAAAGCCCUGGGCUCAACCUGGGAACUGCAGUGGAUACUGGGCGACUAGAGUGUGGUAGAGGGUAGCGGGAUUCCUGGUGUAGCAGUGAAAUGCGUAGAGAUCAGGAGGAACAUCCAUGGCGAAGGCAGCUACCUGGACCAACACUUGACACUGAUGGCACGAAAGCGUGGGGAGCAAACAG